GAUGAACGCUGGCGGCGUGCCUAAUACAUGCAAGUCGAGCGAACGGACGAGAAGCUUGCUUCUCUGAUGUUAGCGGCGGACGGGUGAGUAACACGUGGAUAACCUACCUAUAAGACUGGGAUAACUUCGGGAAACCGGAGCUAAUACCGGAGAAUAUUUUGAACCGCAUGGUUCAAAAGUGAAAGACGGUCUUGCUGUCACGUAUAGAUGGAUCCGCGCUGCAUUAGCUAGUUGGUAAGGUAACGGCUUACCAAGGCAACGAUGCAUAGCCGACCUGAGAGGGGGAUCGGCCACACUGGAACUGAGCCACGGUCCUGACUCCUACGGGAGGCAGCAGUAGGGAAUCUUCCGCAAUGGGCGAAAGCCUGACGGAGCAACGCCGCGUGAGUGAUGAAGGUCUUCGGAUCGUAAAACUCUGUUAUUAGGGAAGAACAUAUGUGUAAGUAACUGUGCACAUCUUGACGGUACCUAAUCAGAAAGCCACGGCUAACUACGUG
rnacentral:rRNA from 1 species